rnacentral:rRNA from 1 species
UACAGGGGGUGCAAACGUUGCUCGGAAUCAUUGGGCGUAAGCGCACGUAGGCGGUUUGUUAUGUCGGAUGUGAAAGCCCUUGGCUCAACUGAGGAAGUGCAUCCGAAACUGGCAGCUAGAGUACUAAAGAGGAUCGCGGAAUUCCCGGUGUAGAGGUGAAAUUCGUAGAUAUCGGGAGGAACACCGGUGGCGAAGGCGGCGAUCUGGGUAGAUACUGACGCUGAGGUGCGAAAGCGUGGGGAGCAAACAGG